rnacentral:rRNA from 1 species
CCAAUAGCGUAUAUUAAAGUUGUUGCAGUUAAAAAGCUCGUAGUUGAAUUUCGGGAUCAAUCUAUCGGUCGUGCAAUAGUACGUACUGAUUUUAUUGAUUCCUCCCUUCCGAUGAACCAUAAUGCCAUUAAUUUGGUGUUAUGGGGAAUCAGGACUGUUACCUUGAAAAAAUUAGAGUGUUUAAAGCAGGCUCACGCUUGAAUACAUUAGCAUGGAAUAAUGAAAUAGGACGUUUGAUUCUAUUUUGUUGGUUUCUAGGAUCGACGUAAUGAUUAAUAGGGAUAGUUGGGGGCAUUAGUAUUCAAUUGUCAGAGGUGAAAUUCUUGGAUUUAUUGAAGACUAACUACUGCGAAAGCAUUUGCCAAGGAUGUUUUCAUUAAUCAAGAACGAAAGUUAGGGGAUCGAAGACAAUCAGAUACCGUCGUAGUCUUAACCAUAAACUAUGCCGACUAGGGAUCGGAUGAUGUUAAUUUUUUAAUGACUCAUUCGGCGCCUUACG